AGUGAACGCUGGCGGUAGGCCUAACACAUGCCAGUCGAACGGCAGCACAGUAAGAGCUUGCUCUUACGGGUGGCGAGUGGCGGACGGGUGAGGAAUACAUCGGAAUCUACUUUUUCGUGGGGGAUAACGUAGGGAAACUUACGCUAAUACCGCAUACGACCUACGGGUGAAAGCAGGGAUCUUCGGACCUUGCGCGAUUGAAUGAGCCGAUGUCGGAUUAGCUAGUUGGCGGGGUAAAGGCCCACCAAGGCGACGAUCCGUAGCUGGUCUGAGAGGAUGAUCAGCCACACUGGAACUGAGAUACGGUCCAGACUCCUACGGGAGGCAGCAGUGGGGAAUAUUGGACAAUGGGCGCAAGCCUGAUCCAGCCAUACCGCGUGGGUGAAGAAGGCCUUCGGGUUGUAAAGCCCUUUUGUUGGGAAAGAAAAGCAGCAGGUUAAUACCCCGCUGUUCUGACGGUACCCAAAGAAUAAGCACCGGCUAACUUCGUG
rnacentral:rRNA from 1 species